UAUAUCACGUUGAAACACUGGUUCUCGUGCGAUCAUUGAAGUUAAGCAACGUCGAACCUAGUCAGUACUUAGAUGGGUGACCACUUAGGAAUACCAGGUGCUGUAAG